rnacentral:rRNA from 1 species
AUGAACGCUAGCGACAGGCCUAACACAUGCAAGUCGAGGGGCGAGCACAAGGAGCAAUCUGAGGUGGCGACCGGCGCACGGGUGAGUAACACGUAUGCAACCUGCCUGUAAGCGGGGAAUAACCCGUUGAAAGACGGACUAAUACCGCAUAAUACUAAAUUACUGCAUGGUAAUUUAUUUAAACAUUUAUGGCUUACAGAUGGGCAUGCGCAUGAUUAGCUAGUUGGAGAGGUAACGGCUCCCCAAGGCAACGAUCAUUAGGGGUUCUGAGAGGAAGGUCCCCCACACUGGUACUGAGACACGGACCAGACUCCUACGGGAGGCAGCAGUGAGGAAUAUUGGUCAAUGGACGAGAGUCUGAACCAGCCAAGUCGCGUGCAGGAAGAAUGUCCCUAUGGAUUGUAAACUGCUUUUGCAGGGGAAUAAAGUGCAUCACGUGUGAUGUUUUGUAUGUACUCUGCGAAUAAGGAUCGGCUAACUCCGUGCCAGCCGCUGC